rnacentral:rRNA from 1 species
AAAGAGCGUGUAGGCGGCCCGGUAAGUCCGUUGUGAAAGUCGAGGGCUCAACCCUCGAAUGCCGGCGGAUACUGUCGGGCUAGAGUCCGGAAGAGGCGAGUGGAAUUCCUGGUGUAGCGGUGAAAUGCGUAGAGAUUGGGAAGAACACCGGUGGCGAAAGCGCUCUGCUAGGCCGCAACUGACACUCAUGGACGAAAGCUAGGGGAGCGAAUGGGAUUAGAUACCCCAGUAGUCCUAGCCGUAAACGAUGGAUACUAGGCGUACUCCGUAUCGACCCGAGCUGUGCCGUAGCUAACGCGUUAAGUAUCCCGCCUGGGGAGUACGCUCGCAAGAGUUAAACUCAAAGGAAUUGACGGGGGCCCGCACAAGCGGUUGGAGUAUUGUUGUUUAAUUCGAUGCAACGCGAAGAACCUUACCAGGGCUUACAUGUCCGGAAUCUUGGGAAACCCGAGAGUGCUUCGGGAGCCGGAACACAGGUGGUGCGUGGCUGUCGUCAGCUCGUGUCGUGAGAUGUUGGGUUAAGUCCCGCAACGAGCGCAACCCUCGUUUUUAGUUGCCAGCAUUAAGUUGGGCACUCUAGAGAGACUGCCGGUGACAAACCGGAGGAAGGUGGGGAUGACGUCAAGUCAGCAUGCCACUUACGUCCUGGGCUACACACGUACUACAAUGCUACGGACAAAGGGCAGCAAGCAUGCGAAUGCAAGCAAAUCCCAUAAACCGUGGCUCAGUUCAGAUUGCAGGCUGCAACUCGCCUGCAUGAAGUUGGAAUCGCUAGUAAUCG